GCUGGUGGGAGGUUUGUAAUCUCAAGUGACGGUGUCUGGGAUGUUCUUUCUACGGAAGAGGCUCUUGAGUGCAGUCGUGAUUUGGCACCAGAAGCUGCAGAAGCACAAAUUGUUGAAGUGUUACUCCUCUAAUUUCAAUCAAUAGGAAGCUGUACAAGUGACAGGAUUGUGGGAUGAUACAACUUGCAUAGUCAUAGAUGUUCUACCUCCAGAGAAGAAAAAUGCUCCUGUUCCACCACCAAAGAAGAGUGGUAAGAGAAUGUUGAAGGCCAUGUUCAAGAAAAAGCGUAUAGAGGCGCCACCUCAGCUUGAUGAAGAAGAAAACUAUGAACCAGAUAUGGUGGAGGAGCUUGUGGAGGAACGAUCCGCUAUGCCUUUAAAACGGUUGGAUACCAAAUACCCGCUCAGUAACGUUUUCAGGUUGUUCGUUUGCGCGGAGUGUCAAUUUGAAAUAAAACCCGGUGAAGGAAUUUCAAUUUAAAGGCCCUUUUCUUUGUGUAAGCUGCUGAGAUUAAACUAUUAGCGAGAUGCCAUGGAAGUUAAAAUAUUAUCCAGGGGGCUUAAAGGUUUGGGAUGAGAUGAAUAGAAGAAGUUUAUCUCCUAAUCUGCACGCGGUUCUCACAUGAAGGUGCUUAAGAUAGCAAGAACAGAUAUCCAUGUGGCUGUGUAAAUGAAUCGGCUUACAAAUUAUGUACUUGGGGUUGACGGUCCUUGGGGUCGUCGUGUACAUGCAAAAGGGCUCAAAUGUUAUUUGACAUCUAUUCAUUAGUAUCAUGAAAUGUUAGUUAUUUGACAUAUAUUCACUUCUUGCAUUAUUUUGGACGUAUUGUUAACCUUUCGCUUUGAUGCUUGAAAUUAAUUGUCGUGGGCUA